CAUGUUGCUUUCGAGUGAUCGAAAACAACCGCCUAGGGGCGUAGUUCAAUUGGUAGAGCAACGGUCUCCAAAACCG
rnacentral:tRNA from 1 species